rnacentral:rRNA from 1 species
UACGGAGGAUGCGAGCGUUAUCCGGAUUUAUUGGGUUUAAAGGGUGCGUAGGCGGCUUAGUAAGUCAGCGGUGAAAUUUUGCAGCUUAACUGUAACAGUGCCGUUGAUACUGUUUGGCUAGGAUUUGGUUGUAGUGUGCGGAAUGUGUGGUGUAGCGGUGAAAUGCUUAGAUAUCACACAGAACACCGAUUGCGAAGGCAGCACACUAAGUCAUUAUUGACGCUGAGGCACGAAAGUGUGGGGAUCAAACAGGAUUA